rnacentral:SRP_RNA from 1 species
GGAGGGAGGUUGGGACGCCCCCUACCUGCAAUCCGCUCGUUCCGUCCUUGACUCCGCCGCCUCCCGGCGGC